UACGAAGGGUGCAAGCGUUACUCGGAAUUACUGGGCGUAAAGCGUGCGCAGGCGGCUUUGCAAGACAGAUGUGAAAUCCCCGGGCUCAACCUGGGAACUGCAUUUGUGACUGCAUGGCUAGAGUACGGUAGAGGGGGAUGGAAUUCCGCGUGUAGCAGUGAAAUGCGUAGAUAUGCGGAGGAACACCGAUGGCGAAGGCAAUCCCCUGGACCUGUACUGACGCUCAUGCACGAAAGCGUGGGGAGCAAACAGG
rnacentral:rRNA from 1 species